GACGAACGCUGGCGGCGUGCCUAAUACAUGCAAGUUGAACGCUAAAGCUUUAACUGGUGCUUGCACCGACCUAAGUUUUUAGAGUAGCGGACGGGUGAGUAACACGUGGGUAACCUGCCCAUCAGAGGGGGAUAACACUUGGAAACAGGUGCUAAUACCGCAUAAUUCCUUUUACCGCAUGGUAAAAGGCUGAAAGGCGCUUCUGGUGUCACUGAUGGAUGGACCCGCGGUGCAUUAGCUAGUCGGUGGGGUAACGGCCUACCGAGGCGAUGAUGCAUAGCCGACCUGAGAGGGUGAUCGGCCACAUUGGGACUGAGACACGGCCCAAUGUGGCCGAUCACCCUCUCAGGUCGG
rnacentral:rRNA from 1 species